UACGUAGGGGGCGAGCGUUGUCCGGAUUUAUUGGGCGUAAAGAGCGUGUAGGCGGCCAGGUAGGUCUGCUGUGAAAACUCGAGGCUCAACCUCGAGACGUCGGCGGAAACCAUCUGGCUAGAGUCCGGAAGAGGAGAGUGGAAUUCCUGGUGGUAGCGGUGAAAUGACGCAGAUAUCAGGAAGAACACCCGUGGCGAAGGCGGCUCUCUGGGACGGUACUGACGCUGAGACGCGAAAGCGUGGGGAGCGAACAGG
rnacentral:rRNA from 1 species